ACCUGGGUGGCUCAGUCGGUUAAGUGUCUGACUUCAGCUCAGGUCAUGAUCUCACAGUUUGUGAGUUCAAGCCUCACAUCGGGCU
rfam:Felis catus isolate Cinnamon breed Abyssinian chromosome B1, whole genome shotgun sequence.